UACAGGAGGGUGCAAGCGUUAAUCGGAAUUACUGGGCGUAAAGCGCGUGUAGGCAGCUUCGGAAAGUCGGGUGUGAAAGCCCUCGGGGCUUAACCUGAGGAAGUGCACUCGAAACUUCCGAGACUUGAGUUCUGGAGAGGGAAGGCGGGAAUUCGUCGGUUGUAGAGGGUGAAAUUCGAUAGAUAUCGAGAGGAACGACCGGGUGGCC
rnacentral:rRNA from 1 species